UACAGAGGUGGCAAGCGUUGUUCGGAAUUACUGGGCGUAAAGGGCGCGUAGGCGGCCUGCUAAGUCGAACGUGAAAUCCCUGGGCUCAACCCAGGAACUGCGUCCGAUACUGGUUGGCUUGAAUCCGGGAGAGGGAUGUGGAAUUCCAGGUGUAGCGGUGAAAUGCGUAGAUAUCUGGAGGAACACCGGUGGCGAAGGCGACAUCCUGGACCGGCAUUGACGCUGAGGCGCGAAAGCCAGGGGAGCAAACGGG
rnacentral:rRNA from 1 species